rnacentral:rRNA from 1 species
UACGUAGGUGGCAAGCGUUGUCCGGAUUUAUUGGGUUUAAAGGGUGCGUAGGCGGACUGGUAAGUCAGCUGUGAAAGUUUACGGCUCAACCGUGAAAUUGCAGUUGAUACUGUUGGUCUUGAGUAUACAUGAGGUGGGCGGAAUUUGUGGUGUAGCGGUGAAAUGCUUAGAUAUCAGAAAGAACUCCAGUUGCGAAGGCAGCUCACUGGGGUAUAACUGACGCUGAUGCACGAAGGUGUGGGUAGCAAACAGG